rnacentral:rRNA from 1 species
UACGUAGGGUGCGAGCGUUAAUCGGAAUUACUGGGCGUAAAGUGUGCGCAGGCGGCUAAGCAAGUCGAGUGUGAAAGCCCCGGGCUUAACUUGGGAAUUGCGCUCGAAACUACUUGGCUGGAGUGUGGCAGAGGAAGGCGGAAUUCCAGGUGUAGCGGUGAAAUGCGUAGAUAUCUGGAGGAACACCGGUGGCGAAGGCGGCAUCCUGGACCACGACUGACGCUGAGUGAGCGAAAGCCAGGGGAGCAAACGGG